CCUACGGGAGGCAGCAGUAGGGAAUCUUCCAACAAUGGGCGAAAGCCUGAUGGAGACAACGACCGCGUGAGACGAAGAAGGUCUUCGGAUCGUAAAGCUCUGUUGUAAGGGAAGAACAAGUGCAGCAGUAACUGGCUGCACCCUGACGGUACCUUACGAGAAAGCCACGGCUAACUACGUGACCAGCAGCCGCGGUAAU
rnacentral:rRNA from 1 species